rnacentral:rRNA from 1 species
CCCUUUCAGGCAUUAUAUGGAUACAAACCUCCUCAGACUGGGGAGUAUGCUUCUGACCAGUUACUGUCGCCUGAAGCAACACUGACAAUUUCUGAAAGAGAACACAUGAUGCAAUGUCUGAAAGCAAAUUUGGAGCAUGCCCAAAACAGGAUCAAAUACUUUGCAUACAGGAAAAGGACAGAGAGGAAAUUAGAAGUGGGAGACAAAGUGUUCCCUAAAAUUCAACCAUACAGACAGAAUGCAUUCGGUCUAAGGGGCUCACUCAAACUAUGGUCGAAGUUCUAUGGUCCAUACAAGAUACUGGAAAGAAUUGGAGAAGUAUCUUACAAUCUGGAUCUGCCAGAGGGUACUAACAUCCACCCCGUGUUCCACAUUAGCCAACUGAAGAAACAUAUAGGACAGAAAGCGGUACCUCUUCCUCACGUGCCACUGGUGACCCCAGAAGGAUACGUCAAAACCAUACUAGUUGCAGUGUUAGAUCGUCGCGUCAUA